UACGUAGGGAGCAAGCGUUAUCCGGAUUCAUUGGGCGUAAAGCGCGCGUAGGUGGCUUGUUAAGCGAGAUGUGAAAACCGGGGGCUCAACCCGCGGCCUGCAUCUCGAACUGGCAGGCUUGAGUCUGGUAGAGGAAAGUGGAAUUCCCAGUGUAGCGGUGAAAUGCGCAGAUAUUGGGAGGAACACCAGUGGCGAAGGCGGCUUUCUGGGCCACGACUGACACUGGGGCGCGAAAGCUAGGGGAGCAAACAGG
rnacentral:rRNA from 1 species